UCCGGUUUGUCACCGGCGGUCUCCUUAGAGUUCCCACCAUUACGUGCUGGCAAUUAAUGACAAGGGUUGCGCUCGUUGCGGGACUUAACCCAACAUCUCACGACACGAGCUGACGACAGCCAUGCAGCACCUGUGUUACCGCUCCCUUUCGGGCACGCCCACCUCUCAGCGGGCUUCGGUACAUGUCAAGGGUAGGUAAGGUUUUUCGCGUUGCGUCGAAUUAAACCACAUGCUCCGCUGCUUGUGCGGGCCCCCGUCAAUUCCUUUGAGUUUCAGCCUUGCGGCCGUACUCCCCAGGCGGGGCACUUAAUGCGUUAGCGCCGGCACCCGGAGGGUCGCUCCCCCGGGCACCUAGUGCCCAUCGUUUACAGCGUGGACUAC
rnacentral:misc_RNA from 1 species